GUGGUUGUGGCUCAGGGGUAGGGCGCUUGCCUAGCAUGCGUGAGGCACUGGGUUCGAUCCUCAGCACCACA
rnacentral:tRNA from 1 species